GAACGAGGUAGCAAUACCUAGUGGCAGACGGGUGAGUAACGCGUGGUCAACCUACCGUUGAGUGGGGGAUAACUAGCCGAAAGGUUAGCUAAUACCGCAUACGUCUCCGAGUGGCAUCACUUGGCGAUAAAAGGAGCAAUCCGCUCGAUGACGGGACCGCGUCCCAUUAGCUAGAUGGUGGGGUAACGGCCUACCAUGGCUCCGAUGGGUAGCUGGUUUGAGAGAGCGACCAGCCACACUGGGACUGAGAAACGGCCCAGACUCCUACGGGAGGCAGCAGUGGGGAAUUUUCCGCAAUGGGCGAAAGCCUGACGGAGCGACGCCGCGUGUGGGAAGAAGGCCUUCGGGUCGUAAACCACUGUCGAAGGGGACGAUAAUGACGGUACCCUUGGAGGAAGCCCCGGCUAACUACGUG
rnacentral:rRNA from 1 species